rnacentral:rRNA from 1 species
GAUGAACGCUGGCGGCGUGCCUAAUACAUGCAAGUCGAGCGAACAGAUGCGGAGCUUGCUCCUCUGACGUUAGCGGCGGACGGGUGAGUAACAAGUGGAUAACAUCCCUAUAAGACUGGGAUAACUUCGGGAUAACGGAGCUAAUACCGGGUAAUAUAUUGAACCGCAUGGUUCAUUAGUGAAAGACGGUUUUGCUGUCACUUAUAGAUGGAUCCGCGCCGCAUUAGCUAGUUGGUAAGGUAACGGCUUACCAAGGCAACGAUGCGUAGCCGACCUGAGAGGAUGAUCGGCCACACUGGAACGAAGACACGGUCCAGACGCCUACGGGAGGCAGCAGUAGGGAAGCUUCCGCAAUGGGCGAAAGCCGGACGGAGCAGCGCCGCGGGAGGGAUGAUGGUCUUCGGAUCGUAAAACUCUGUUAUUAGGGAAGAACAAAUGUGUAAGUAACUAUGCACGUCUUGACGGUACCUAAUCAGAAAGCCACGGCUAACUACGUG